UACCUCCACUUGCGUGUGUCUAGUUGUUA
rnacentral:piRNA from 1 species